rnacentral:rRNA from 1 species
GACGAACGCUGGCGGCGUGCUUAACACAUGCAAGUCGAGCGGAAAGGCCCUUCGGGGUACUCGAGCGGCGAACGGGUGAGUAACACGUGAGUAACCUGUCCUUGGCUUUGGGAUAACCCUCGGAAACGGGGGCUAAUACCGGAUACGACUCUUGCCUGCAUGGGUGGGGGUGGAAAGUUUUUCGGCUAGGGGUGGGCUCGCGGCCUAUCAGCUUGUUGGUGGGGUGAUGGCCUACCAAGGCGACGACGGGUAGCCGGCCUGAGAGGGCGACCGGCCACACUGGGACUGAGACACGGCCCAGACUCCUACGGGAGGCAGCAGUGGGGAAUAUUGCACAAUGGGCGGAAGCCUGAUGCAGCGACGCCGCGUGAGGGAUGACGGCCUUCGGGUUGUAAACCUCUUUCAGCAGGGACGAAGCGCGAGUG